rnacentral:misc_RNA from 1 species
AUAUAUCAACCUCUUAAGCUUUUGCUUGAUGAGUUGUGGAUGUGGGGGUUAUUUUGCUGGCCUCUUUCUUUGAGAGGUCAGCUCCCCUGAAAUGCAUUAGCGGAACAAUUUGUUGAUCGUUCAUUGGUGUGAUAACUAUCUACGCUAUUGACGUGAAGCAGUUCAGCUUAUAACCGUCCAUUGACUUGGACAAAUUUUCUAUUA